UACAGAGGGGGCAAGCGUUGUUCGGAAUUACUGGGCGUAAAGGGCGCGUAGGCGGCCACCUAAGUCAGACGUGAAAUCCCUCGGCUCAACCGGGGAACUGCGUCUGAUACUGAGUGGCUUGAAUUCGGGAGAGGAAUGCGGAAUUCCAGGUGUAGCGGUGAAAUGCGUAGAUAUCUGGAGGAACACCGGUGGCGAAGGCGGCAUUCUGGACCGACAUUGACGCUGAGGCGCGAAAGCCAGGGGAGCAAACGGG
rnacentral:rRNA from 1 species